CCUCUUCUAAACUGACCAUUCUCUUACUCCUCUUCUUAGUUAGGCAGUGACCCAACCGGCGACCUCCCCUCUCUUCUUCGUCUUCUGCUUAAUCGGGCGGUAACCCAACCCCCGGGGCCUCCUCCUCUCUUCUUCGUCCAGUGUGUAAAGGUUUUCGAUCUUUCAAAGGAGAUGCCAUUAAACUAUGUGUAGGUUGUGCAAGCUUUGAUAAGUUUCUAGACUUUGAGCAAAGAGGAAUAAUUUUUCAAGAACUUGCAUAUGCAUAAUAUAUUGGUAAGCUCUCAUUAUUACAGAGAAAAGAUGAAGAGAAAUCAAACUUUUUUCUUUUUGUAAGAAAUUAUUGUACUCAAAAUUGUUUUUUCUUAUUCUUAGCUGCCCAAGAAAAUAUUUUGAUAAAAGAUUAGGGAUUCUUGGUGAGUAUUUCAGUUGAGUUUAGUGCUUAAGUUAUUUCCAGUACAGAAUUUUGUGUGUUCAUUUUUUUCAAUAUAAUUUUUUUGCUUUUGUGAUUCUUAUGUAGAUGAUGUAGUGUAAAAUCCCACCCCUAACCAUUCAUUGAAGUAGUUUUGUAGUAUUAGGGUUAUAGUUUGUACCAUAUGAGGUUGUAACCUAUACGGCUUUGUACAUACUAGAAAUAUUUAUGGAAUAGAUCUCUUUUUCAUAAUA